rnacentral:rRNA from 1 species
UACGGGGGGGGCAAGCGUUGUUCGGAAUUACUGGGCGUAAAGGGCUUGUAGGCGGUUUGGUAGGUCCGCUGUGAAAACUCGAGGCUCAACCUCGAGACGCCGGUGGAAACCAUCAGACUAGAGUCCGGAAGAGGAGAGUGGAAUUCCUGGUGUAGCGGUGAAAUGCGCAGAUAUCAGGAAGAACACCCGUGGCUAAGGCGGCUCUCUAGUACGGUACUGACGCUGAGACGCGAAAGCGUGGGGAGCAAACAGG